AGAAGCCUCCUCGGCCUUUGUACUUAUAUAUGACAUGGUUUGUUUAGUUUUUCUCCUCUACCAUUGGGGAUUCUGGCAAACAGUAACUCAAUCUCUGUGCCAUUCAGUAGAUAGCAGCACUUAAUCGGGAGAGCUGAAGAACCAUUAAGGAUUACACUAGAUUACAUACUCUAGAUUGCAAUGAUGAAAGAGAGAGAGAUGAGAGUGAAACACAUUCCUCAGGGCAGAGUGAGGACUGUGUAUGGCGAUGAUUGUUUCUUAUCUGGUCACGAGAGAGCUACUGGAUCACAUGAAGCGACUGCAGGAGUACUCAAAUUUGGUAAAGCACACAUGGCUUUUCCUUGGAGCAUGGAUUGGUGAUCAAAGGGUUAAAAUGGUUCAAAUAGUUUCAAAUCAGGACUGCUAACCUCCAUUUUUGGAUGCCCAAUUUAGCACUGCAGAUUACAACCCCCCCCCAUACUAUAAACAUUGUAAUUCUUACGGCAUGAUGAAAUGAAACGAAUCCCAUUGAAAGUGUUUUUCAGUAUUUCAUUAUUUCAGUAUUUUAUGGCCCUCUCCUUGUGAGACAUUUGAGGAGCGGUAGUAAACGAGCUACACAGUUUAUAACAUACAGUACCCUACAUAAAUAUUUGCUGGGUCAAUAUUUGCACCACCUUUGGCUGACAUUACAGCUUCACGUUUUCUUGGAUACAUCAGCAGGGGUGGAAAAACGACUGAGGAAUUAUAUUUACUGAAAGAAUAGAUAACGUGUCAAAAUCUGGUUCUUGGUUUUGAACCACUCCAGUGUAGCUUUGCCAGCCUGGUUAGGGUUGAUAUCCUGUCUUUGGUUCUAUCCAGCUUACUCUCAAACCUGACAAGUUUCCCGGUCCGUGCUGAUGAAAAGCACCCCCGCAACAUGAUGGUACCAUCACCAUGCUUUAAUGACUCAUGGUAGUGCAGUAUUCUUUGUUUGGGAUAUUUUUUUUUUUUUUUAUGACUAAUCCCUGAUUGAUACGUUUCAAAAAACUUUGUCCUGGACUUGUUUUAAUACUGUAGCUCCUUGGUCUUUAUGAUUAUGUUUGAUUAGGUAUGUUGUCUGGGGCCUUCCAAGAAUAGGUGUAUUGAUGUUGAGAUCACAUGGCACUUUUGCUCAGAUUUUCAUUUAUAAAUAAAUUUUCAAACAAUUAUGAUUUCCCCUCACACUUUAAUUUUAUGGAUCAAUUUUGUUUAGGUUCUUGACAUAUUAUCUCAUUUUCAGCUCCUAUAUUUCACUACAAAAUGUUGGAAAACUAAUGUUGGUGAAUACUUUUGCAAGGCACUGCAGGUAACGACAACUUAUUGUUCAACAAAAGCACUAGUUGAAAUUAUGUUGUACUUGACGCUUUGCUGGUUGCCUGUGCUUUUACAUGUGCUCAGAUGUAAACUGUAAUAAGAAAAUGAUCAAAUUACCUUAUGUUAAUGUCACAUUUUCAUGUGAAAAUUACUUUUCUGAAACUUAUAUGAAACUGUAAAAAGGUUAUUCUCAUUUUAAAGAAGCUCCAAUAUUUCGCCUGAAAACAUCCUAGUUGUAACACUACAAAAUAUGAGAAACUUAAUGGGAAUGGAUACUUAUGCGAGGCACUGCAGGUAACAACAUUGGGAACUUAUUGUUAAACUUAAGAUCUAUUUAAAAUUAUGUCGUGCUUGAUGUCUUUGUUUUUUGCCUUUCCUUUGAAAUGUGCUCAAGUACGGAAGCUGAACUAAUUACCUUCAUCAGCAAUUUGAUUACAGUCCAUUUGCCUGGCAUCCAUUUGACACAAUAAUGGCUGCAUGUGAAAGAGAGCUUUCGGCUUUGCUGUGUCUAACAGAGAGUACUGUAGAGCAAAGUGCAACAGGUAAUGACUUGUUCCUGACAAUAUUUUAAUCUCAAAUACAAGUAAGGUGUCUGUCAUUCAUUGUUAUUAAUGGAAGGAGGUAUUAAUGAGGUCAGUGGACUUAGCCAUGCGAAAGGUUGGCUUACACUUCACUUAUAGUAAAAGAGCAUUCAUGUUUUGUAUAAUGUUGGCUGCUUAAGACACUUUUACUUAGUUGUUCUUGGCAUAAUUAGUCUAUACACAGAAGACCUGGACUGAUUGAAGCUGGCCAGCUUAAUUCAGUGGCAUGCAGCAGACAUGUACCACGCACUGUCCUCCUCUGUGCCGCAUAUAAUGAUCUCCAUCCUGCCGUUGGCACACCAGGUUUCAGCGGCAUCAGAGACCACUCAAUGCCUAAAGGGAAGGACACAAAUCCUGUAGCCAAUAUUCCUGUCUGCCAGCAGCAGGGGAAGCCAGCCAGAUAGUGAUAUACAUUAUAAAAAGUGUUAAAUAUGUAUCAAGCAUUUCCCUGUCUAAUAAAUUCCAAAAAUAAAAUACA